AAAAAAACUUCUUUUACACAAACCCGCAUAAACGUGUCACUAAGAGCUGCUAUGAGCAUGCCGAACCUAUAGGGGGCAGCGUAACGACAAACCCAUGCUAGCCAAUCAGAAUCCUGGAAAAAACACAACAACGAAUGGCACGAUUUACUUCC